rnacentral:rRNA from 1 species
AGGGUUUGAUCAUGGCUCAGGAUAAACGCUGGCGGCGUGCCUAAUACAUGCAAGUCGAUCGAUAGAAGUCCAGCUUGCUGGACGGAAAUAGAGGCGAACGGGUGAGUAAUACGUAAGCAACCUGCCCACGAAGACCGGGAUAAUCCCUGGAAACGGGGACUAAGACCGGAUAGGUACACAGACCGCAUGAUCUGUGUAUUAAAGGUGAGAGACACUGGUGGAUGGGCUUACGGUGCAUUAGCUGGAUGGUGAGGUAACGGCCCACCAUGGCGAUGAUGCAUAGCCGGGCUGAGAGGCUGAACGGCCACAUUGGGACUGAGACACGGCCCAG